UUUCCGUAGGUGAACCUGCGGAAGGAUCAUUACCGAGUGCGGGUCCUUUGGGCCCAACCUCCCAUCCGUGUCUAUUAUACCCUGUUGCUUCGGCGGGCCCGCCGCUUGUCGGCCGCCGGGGGGGCGCCUUUGCCCCCCGGGCCCGUGCCCGCCGGAGACCCCAACACGAACACUGUCUGAAAGCGUGCAGUCUGAGUUGAUUGAAUGCAAUCAGUUAAAACUUUCAACAAUGGAUCUCUUGGUUCCGGCAUCGAUGAAGAACGCAGCGAAAUGCGAUAACUAAUGUGAAUUGCAGAAUUCAGUGAAUCAUCGAGUCUUUGAACGCACAUUGCGCCCCCUGGUAUUCCGGGGGGCAUGCCUGUCCGAGCGUCAUUGCUGCCCUCAAGCCCGGCUUGUGUGUUGGGUCGCCGUCCCCCUCUCCGGGGGGACGGGCCCGAAAGGCAGCGGCGGCACCGCGUCCGAUCCUCGAGCGUAUGGGGCUUUGUCACAUGCUCUGUAGGAUUGGCCGGCGCCUGCCGACGUUUUCCAACCAUUUUUUCCAGGUUGACCUCGGAUCAGGUAGGGAUACCCGCUGAACUUAA
rnacentral:misc_RNA from 2 species